rnacentral:tRNA from 1 species
GAGGGGAUAGCUCAGUGGUAGAGCACAUGUUUUAGCACGCACAAGAUCCUGGGUUCAAUCCCCAGUACCUCA